rnacentral:pre_miRNA from 1 species
AUGCAUGUCCCUUGGAGAUAUUGUUAAAAUGCAGAUUCUGAUUUGGUGCAAUCUGAGAUUAUGCAUUUUUAACAAGCUCCCAAGUGAUGCUGAU